GGGUUCUGGAGAAUGCAGAGCAACAAGACAUUUGGACAUGGUGGCUCUCUGUUGGAUCACUGCCUGGGGACUGAAGGCCUUUGUGCCCUCACUGCCCCAUCUCAAGAGAGGUGGCCAUUCCAGACCAGAGCCUCUUGCAGGUCUUACAACUCAGGAAUGUCUCAGAGAUCUCAGAGCAUGAAAGGAGACAGCAGCCCCAUCUCUCAGUUCCUGUGGGAGGGUAAGAGCCUGACUUCAGUGAGUAUCCUGCUCCAACUUGCAAAACUACUUCCUAUCAUGAAGACAAGAAGCUUAUUUUUCCCUGGAUAAAGCCAUAAGUAACACAGAUGCUCACCCCAAUUACCACGUAAAGAUGCUGGCCGCAGGAAUCUGCACUCAGGAGAUACAGAGGAACUUUACUGUGGUGAGCAAUGGUACUGCACACUCUCACCUCCAGGUGCCUUCAUAUACAAUGGACCUUUGGUUGCAAGUCCUUCCACUGCCUAUCCUGCAUGCACUUGAAAGCUUCAACUUUACUUCUUUUGUCGUUGACUCCCCAGAGAAUGUUGGUACAAAGUAGAAGAUCAGUAAACAUUGUUUGAAAGAAUGGAAGGGAAACAAAGAAAGCCAAGGAUAUUUGGGCUGAAAUUCAGACUUGCACUACUUUUGUAGUCUUGGGCAAGUUAUUUCAGGCUUUGAGACUUAGUUUCUUUAUCUGUAAAAAUGGGGAUAACAACCUUUCAACUGACUAUCCUAUGUAUGGAUUACACAUUAGCAGUUUGUUCUACUAAGUUUGUUACAUUUUCUUGCCAGUGAAACCAGCAAAGGCCUGGAUACUCCCUCUCAUAAAUUCCUUACUUAACGAAGUGUCGUCAAGUUGCUUUUUGGGAAAAGCCUCCAGCGUCCACUCAAGUUUGGAUUGAAACUGGCUUUUAAAAGAAUGGCUAUGCACAGAAGAAGAAAGUUCAUCUGGUCCUCUUGAUGUCACAAGCUCAGAAAAUUCCCAGCACAGAAUGUGAUGAUAACUCACCCCAGGAAAAGCAUGCUGACCAUCUACUGAAGUGCAGAAGAACCCUGAAAACUUCCCCUUCUUCCCAUCCAAUCAAUAAGCAGCUUCUCCCCAUUGUCUUCCUAUAAUUUUUUUUCCCCUAUUCACUGAUC